rnacentral:lncRNA from 1 species
GGUUUUCAUGAACAGUCGCCCAAGAAUUAAAGGUGCAUCCCCAUUUUCUUCCAUCUCCAUAACAACAAAGUCCACUGGAAACAAGAAUUUAUCAACCUUGACAAUCACAUCUUCAGCAAUUCCAUAAGGAUAUUUGAGGGAUCUAUCAACUAAUUGAAGAACCAUUCUCGUUUGUUUGAGCUCUACCCCUUUUAACUUUUUAAACAUAGUCAGAGGAAUCAAAUUUAUGUUGGCUCCUAAAUCGAUCAAAGCUUUCCCAACCUCUAGCUCUCCAAUAGCACAAGGAAUAGUGAAGCUCCCUGGAUCAGAUGAUUUAGGAGGUAAUGACCGUUUAAUGAUAGCACUGCAAUUCCC